UACGUAGGGUGCAAGCGUUGUCCGGAAUUAUUGGGCGUAAAGAGCUCGUAGGCGGUCUGUCGCGUCGGCUGUGAAAACUCGGGGCUCAACUCCGAGCUUGCAGUCGAUACGGGCAGGCUAGAGUUCGGCAGGGGAGACUGGAAUUCCUGGUAUAGCGGUGAAAUGCGCAGAUAUCAGGAGGAACACCGGUGGCGAAGGCGGGUCUCUGGGCCGAUACUGACGCUGAGGAGCGAAAGCGUGGGGAGCGAACAGG
rnacentral:rRNA from 1 species